GAAAUGUCCCGAUUUUGGAUUAUCAUUUCAACAAAUUGGCCUUAGGACGUUCGGAUUCGUGUUUGAUUCCAGAGCUCUCUGUGGCGACUGGAUGAUGACGACAACCGAUUUCAGUCCCCUGGUUUUCCGUCGAGUUAAGGACUCAGAUUCCCCCUUGACGAUUCGUUCCUUUCCUGCUAUUCUAGCGUGAAACCGUCCGACUCAAGCGAAGGUUUUGUUUUCCAGAAUCUGAAAUUGUUCGACGCCGGCGAGGGAUCGGACGACAGGCUGCAGAUCGAUUAGAGACAAGAAACCCAGUGUUCAAUUUCGGUUUAGAUCCAUAUCGAGGUUAGGAGCCUUCUCCGGUGUUUGAUUUCGGUUUUGAUUAAGUGUUAACGAAAACCCAUCCUUCGCUGGAAUCAGGAGUCGAUGGCCGGAAACCUGGAAGUCUCCCAAGUCCCAAGUUGUAGGAAGAAGGCGAUUAGCAAAAUAUCAGCAGCAGUGCCCGUAAACUUCCGGUCUACAGUUUGGUCACUAAUUUUCCCCUGUUAGUAUUUUAUAGCUUAAACGUUUGAAAAUUGUCAUCCGUAGCCCGAUCCGUUAAAAAGUUAAUUGAAUAGUGUUUUCCGAAUGUCAGAUGUAAUCUGGAAGUUCCCGUUUGUAAUAGAAUGCACCAACGGACAUUCUGAUGGGUUCGAUUAAUCCGAAUAAUCGUAAUUGGAUUAAUUUGGUAAAUUAUAGAGUAA
rnacentral:lncRNA from 1 species